AAGCAAGACACGAAGAAAGAGAAUCCUGGUUCAGUGCCCAUCUGGAAAGCUUCAUUCAUGCUGAUCUGAUUUAGUGCGUCGUUAAAUUGUGUUUUAUAAAUGCAUAAACACAGAAUUGAUAAGAUUUGUUCUAUAAUCCCCGCUGAACACACAUGUCAGUUACUGGGCUGGGAGCUGGGGACAGAUUGAUGGAUAAGAUUAAUGCAGGAGGUGGGUAUGGGUUCAUUUGUUCCUUUUUUUAUUCCUUUAUUUGUUCAUUCAUUUCACCAGCCAACUUUAAUGGAGGACCUAGCAAGUGCCAGGCAGCAUUCUGAGCCCUGGAAUCCGGUGAUGAACAUGACAGACAAGAUUCCUGCCCCCAAGGAGCUGCACCUUAAUAAGUCCCGCAAUGAAGGAGACAGAACAUAAACAGAGGAAAAUACACAAGAUGCCAGCUUGUGAGAAGUGCUAGCAAAAAAAGACACAAGUAUGUCCAGAGAGUCUGAGGUGUAUACAGCUCAUUUCACCAAUGAAAAGGCACUGGCAACAUCUCCUAUGCAGAUUAGCCGCAGCCUCCGGUGCCGAUUUAGCAAAGCCAUGAUUGACCAGAUCCGAGGCUCGCUGCCCUGUGGAGCUGCUUCCUAAUUAUGUUACUUCAAGCACCCAUCCCCAGGGUGCAGGUUAAAGUUAACCAGCACACUAAUGUACAUCAAGCAGUGUAGGCGGAGGCGCAGUUCUGAAGACAGUCACCAAUACGCGGCAAAUACCUAUUGUGAGAUCCAUCACCUGCUGGAUGGGCCUGCUCCCUCUACCACUCCCCUCCCACCUGCGCCUGGGUUGGGGAACUGGCCCCUUGCUAACUAGUCUAAUCCCCUUCAGUUGGUCACAAGCCCUGUGGAGGUGGGAAGGAGACAGGACUGGGAAGGCAGUGAGGGAGGGCACGAUGUGACUUCAGGGACAGCAGGAGCCUGAGUCUGGAGUUUGGGCUGCCCUAAUUUGCUGUGUGACCUUGAAAGCCCCUUCCCCUUUUAAGAAUGGGCUCAUCUCUUUUCUAAAGAAGACAUUCCAUGGGAGAGGUGGUGCCAUGGGAGUGUCACCUGGGAGGCUGCAGGCCUGCCCUAGGGCCCAGUCAUUCUGGAGGAAGCCCUUGUGGGCUAGGAGACGGCAGGCUCCGCCUCUGACCUAUUGGUUUCCCUCUGUCUGCCACUGUCCAGAGAUCAGAAUCCUGGGUCCUCUGGCACGGGCAUCCACUCUCACCAAGACAGACAGGAUGGAGCCUCUUCCUUAGGGCCUUGAGGCUUCACCACAGUCGUUGCAGUCUGGGGACUAUUGAACCAGACUGACUCUGGUCCUGGAGGGUGACCGUGGACAUCGACCCUCCCUGAACCUGAGUUCUCAUCAAUGGGAUGGAAAGAUCAAUAUGCCUGUCCUAGAUUUCUCAAAGGGCCGGUGUGGUGCUCAGUUGAGAGGUGCAUGUGCAGGACAGCGUGGGCAGCAAUAGGUGGGGGUGUGGGGAGCUGCCUGAGCCGGGCAGAUGCUCAGGAGGAAGGGGUAGAGGGGAAGCUGCUGGGAGUGGGGAGAGACACUUGAGAUGCACGUGGAAGGAACCCAGGGCUGAGCCAGCAGAGGAAAGAGGGUGGGAGGGUAGCCAGGUGGGAGGGCAGGAGGAGCCAAGAUAUGGAGGCUGAAAGCAGCGCAGUGGGCUUGGGGGAUGCACAGGGCACCCGCUGCCCAGAGAGGUUCCAGUUAGUCCUCCGCCUAAGAAGUGCCCCCAUUGUUCCAGGACUCCUUCCCUCCUUUUCUCCUGCCCUCAUUCCUCCCUUCCUGCCUCUUUUUCCCUCCGCCCUCCCUUUCUUCUUUUUCUUUUUUUCCUUCUCUUCUUCCUGCUUCCUUCACUAGUAGUUACUGGCACCCACUAUGUACCAGCCACUGUGCUGGGCACGGAUGGACACACAUCAGCCCCUGCCCGCAUGGUGGAACAGGGAUAUGGGAGAGAAAGACAACAAACAACUCGGUGUACAAAUAGUCAACUACAGUGGGUAAGUGCCCUGGAGAGAAAGUUCAGGGAGUGGUGAGAAUAUCUAACAGGGAAACUGUUCUCUGUGUGGGGUGUGGGUGGGGCAGGGUGGUAGAUUGUUUACAAAGACAAGGCCUCAGUAACUCUUCCCAGCCAAGGUAGAGUUUGUUUCUUCACCUCUUGAUUCUGAGCUUGGCCAUGACUUGCUCUGGCCAAUGGACAUUAGCAAACAUGGCAGAGGCAGAGGCUUAAAAAGUGCUUGGGCAUUCAGACUUUUGCCCUCUUUUGUGGCACUUGGAAUUCUGAGACACUGAUGGGAAGAGCCCAAGCUAGCCUACUUGAGAGGUCACACGGAGGAGAACCAAGGUGCCCCUAGCAACAGGAUACUAACUGGCACACACAUGAGGCCAUCUUAGAUUAUCCAGCCCGGCCGAUGCAGAGGCAUGAGUCCAUGUCUUCCUCCCUGACAGCAUCAGUGAAUCUUAGGGAAAGAACACUGGCAGAAGCUCUGCAGCCGAGAGAGUUGGGCCUCCACACAAAUAUCCAGCUUCUCUUUGUUUUCACAACUUGCAAUGUGCAUGCACUGAAGUUUGCUUGGUUGCUGAAAUCACACACAGUCAUGAAAUCGCUUAUUAGGGUAUAUCAUGUCAGUGGAAUUUGUGGUUAAGGGAGGGAUGAUCAUUUUCCCAGAGGCUUUAGGUGGGCUUUAGUUCCAGAAAAAUCUAUAACCCCCGCUUCACCUGACCCACAGCCACAGCCCUGUACAAAUGGACAGGUUCUGCUUGCCCUGGGAUAUCUUUGCUGAGAGGACCCCAGGCCCUGUGGAGUGAUGGAGGUCAGCCACUCAGUAGCAAAGGCUGGCUGUCUCCCACACACCAGUGCCUGAUUUGGGGAGGAAGGGAAUGCAGACCUUCUGAGAAAGGGUGACCUUUGCAGCUAGGCCAUGUGGCCAGACUUAGGUAACACCUCUCCAUUAAAAUUGAUGUUCCUCCUAAUCAGCAGUGAUGGGGGGAUUGUUUCUUAAAUGCUGCUAAAUGCAGUGCCAGGUCCCAGGGGAGAAGGCAGGGGUCUUGCUAGUUCUCCUCCGUGAUGUUCUCCAGCCAGAAAGGGCUUCUGGCAGCCCCUACCUGUGAGAGGGGCUCAUUUCCCAAGGUGGGUUGACAAGCAUCUGGAAACUAAGAAUUCUCUGCACAUUGCCUGUAAUUUCCCUUUGAUUUUACAUGUCCUCCAGCCCUCAGAACCAUUAUUAUUUUUUUUUAAGAAAAGCAAAGAUUAAAUCCUCAUACCUCUCUGGAAAAGUGGAGGGGACCACAUUCCAGCAUCUGGUGCCUUGUUUGCCCCAAACAUGACUUCAAGUGAAUCGACAUAAUACUCUUCCAGAGGGAAAGCAGAACCAUCUGCAGGGCUGAGGGACCAAGAAACACAGUGAGGAAUUCCACAGGAGGCCCACGCGGAGGGAUGUGACACCCCAGGUGGACUCUAGGGGACGCUCACUUGGAACUUGCAUCACCCGGAACUGUGUCUGCCACUGUGACUUCAGAGCAGCACAGACCUGAGGUGGAUCCAGCAAUGCCCACAACUGUCCAACAAUUUCACUUUUCCGAGGCUCAGUUUCCAUGUGGAAAAUGGACUGGCUCUGAGUAUUAAAUGAGGAUGAAUGUCCAUAUGCCUCACCCCUUUCUUCAUGAAAGGAAGACACCUCUGGGACUCAGACAAAUGGCCAAUAACAUCUAGUCUUUAUUCAGUCCUAACUGCAUGACAAUACAACUAGCGUAACAGUCAUCAACAUAAGGAAUGCUCUCAAUAUUGCUCGAUGCCCUGUGUGCUAUCACUAAUAGCAACAACUGCUGUUCAUCUAUGCCACGAUAUGCACCAAAUCUACACCACUCCUUUAAGGUGUCACUGUCUCCAUUCCACAGAUGAGAAAACAGCCUCCAGAAGAGGAAAGUGUAGAUGAGUUAAUUUUUCCCUGCCCAACGUUGAUUCCCAUUCCUUCUGAUCAUGGUGCCCUGACUUCUUUGGGAGAACUCCCUCUUCUCUGUGACGGGCUGACUGGUGGGAUUAUCAGUCAAGGUGCCCACCUCCUCUAGCUCUCCCCAUCUCUCUCAGUCUCUGGAGUUUCUGUUUCAAGCAUAAGGACAGAAGAUUAGAAAUGGCUGAAGCUGAUUUGCCCCAGGAGGAGGGUGGGGUCGUGUCCUGAGGAGACGCUCUUGUGGGACCCUGCUUCUUGGACUCCUUGGAUCCCAGCCCCACCCCACCCCCAGACAGCCUUAUUCUGCCUUCAGAGUCUGGUCCUUUGCUUUCCUUUAAAUUCUGAGACCCUCUUGGGUCUGCCCUUUCCCAUGUAGGUUACAGCCAGAUUGGUUUCUGUUGCUUGCAUCCCUCAAACUCUGCCUGACACAGGAAGUGACUCCUCCAGGUCAUCCAGCCCAUGAGUGGCAUAGUCAGAGGAAGCCCUCCGUCACCAGGCUCUCAAGCCAGUGCUCUCUCCAUCAUGCCACAUGGCUGGCCUUGGGGUGGUCCUGCCAUAGGGAGAGCUUUCUGAGAUGGGUCAGGGGGCAGAUUAUCAUCAAAGACCUGGUGAUGGAAAGACACAUGGCAUGGCCUCAUGGUCAUGGAGCCUGCAUGGAGGCCAACAUGCUGGAGGAGAGCUUUGAAGGCAUCCACGGAAGCAGAUGACAGGAGCCUGAAAGCCAUGUGUGGCCACACACCUGCUUCUGACAUAAUUAAUGAGACAUCUAUAUUGUUCCUGUCAGUGAGCUUCUUUGCUACCCAAGCCCUUAGUUCAUCAUGUAUUUUUUAAAGCAAAAAUGGAGGCCUUCCUGAAACAGCCUCCCUCAUUUUGCUUAAUAAUGCUGCAGUAUUGACGUUCUAUGAGGGUGAGGUGACACCAUCUCAGGAUGAUGCACUAGACCCCCAGUGAUUGAUGGCUAUACUUUUUUUUACUGACACUUUGAAAAGAAAGGGCCCCUCUCAGAUUACUGAGCAAGUGGUUAGCCUUGGACCUUUCACUAAUGGCAACCAUAAUUUCAUGACUUAUUUUACCGUGCCAUCUUGUAUGAUUCUAGUUUGUAUGAUUUCCUCACUUUUCAGAUGUGGAAUCUGAGGCUCAGAGAGGCUAAGUAACUUGCUUAAGUUCACACAGCUCGUAAGCGAAGGAGACAGAGAUAAGAUCCCUGAGGUUAUUGAAGUUAUUGAAAGAAUAGCUUGCUCCUUUGCCAUGCCCUCCCCUCCUCCCUGGUACCUGCUGGAAUUCUCAUCUGCACCCUGGGUUGCUCUGGGAGUCACUGGCUGCCCUCUUCCUUGGGACCCACUCUUCUAGGUUGCUGCCAGGACAGGGCAGUAAGUGGGCUUCAAACACCAGCAAGGCCCUUCAGCUUGGCUCAGGGUCUUGCCUCCUGCCAAGGUGCCUUGCUUUGUUCUCAUGCCCAAAGUGAGAGCUAACCUUGGCACACUGUUUACAGCUGUGCCUCUCUGGUCAGGAUCGAGGAGUAGAGCGUUGAUGCCCAUGCCUACCAUGGCACAGCUUCAGCUAACAUGAGCCAGAGCCCAUGAGCCCAAGGCUCUUGCCCCUUCUGGUCUCUAGAGGUCAUGAGCCCACGACUCUUCCCCCUGCUGGUCUGUAGAGCUCAUGAGCCCAUGGCUCUUCUCUCCCCUGGACUCUGGAGCUUAUAAGCCUAUGGUUCUUCUCCCUGCUGGUCUCUGGAGCCCAUGAGCUCACAGCCCUCCUCCCUCCUGGUCUCUGGAGCCCAUGAGCCCAUGACUCUUCUCCCUGCUGGUCUCUGGAUCCUAUGAGCCCACGGUCCUCCUCCCUGCUGGUCUCUGCUCUUCGCCCUGCUGGUCUCUAGAGCUCAUGAGCCCAUGGCCCUCCUCCCUGCUGGUCUCUGCUCUUCUCCCUUCUGGUCCCAGGAGCUCAUGAGCCCAUGGCUCUUCUCCCUGCUGGUCUCUAGAGUUCAUGAGCCCACAGCCCUCCUCCCUGCUGGUCUCUGGAGCCCAUGAGCCCAUGGCUCUUCUCCCUGCUGGUCUGUGCUCUUCUCCCUUCUGCUGGAGCUCUUCUUCCCUGGACCUCAUGAGCCCAUGGCUUUUCUCCCUGCUGGGCUCUACAGCCCCCUUUCUCUCCCCACAUAUCUCUCCAGGACGCCUCUUCCUAUUUGUCCAGAGAAUAUUCCAAGACUCGCCUUUGCCUGUCUCUGGGACAGCAAUCCACAGAGAAGUCUGAGUCGUGGUAGGUGCAAACCCAUGGAAUUCUCUUUGCCCCCAACCCUGCUGUGGCCACUUUCACACCCUCUGUCAGAACGCGCCUCUCCAGCAGCGUAGGGCAGCCAGGCAGCCCUUAAUGGUAAUAGCUGUAACUACAGCCAAUUUCCAAUAAUUGGCGGCCUUUGCCAGGGAAUUCCUGCCUGUCCCAGCAGCUCCUUCUUGCUGCCUUUGAUCUCUACCAGUCUCUGUGAGACACAAAAUAAUGUUGUCAUCUUCAAUUACUCCAAGGGACAGAGUGGCCUUGACCUCGCCACCAACGUCCCCAGCCCACAUGGGGUAGUGGCAGCCAUGAGGGAGGCUGGGCCGUGGACAAGGGGAGUCCCCAGGCCCAUUCAUGGGGUUGGUGCUUCUGGAAACCCCACUGCUACUAUGUGUGAAGAUGGGCCCCCCAGCUGAGGGUGUGGAGAGCAUGCCGGCAGAUACUAACAAGCACAGGCUGUACAGGUUGCCAGACGCCUCCUUUGUGCUAGGCACAUGCCUUCUCUGAUCCUCUAAGCAACUCCUUUGCCAGGAUAUAUUAUUAUCUCCAUUUUACGAAGGAGGAAACUCAGGCUCAGAGAUAGUCACAGGCAUGGCCAGUGGGUGGUGGGGGCAGUUCAGCCCUGGGUGCUGGGCUCAGGUUCAGAGCUUUUUCCAUGUGGCACAGCUCCCCGGGUCUGUGAAUGAGACGCACGCUCCACCUUCCCUACAGGCUCUUGAGUUCCUUGAGGACAGAAACUGGGUGUCCUUCGGAUCCACCGCCUCCCAGGGCUGCUAGCACAGAGCUGGGUGUGGUGUAAAUGCUCAGCCGACCCUUGUCAAGCCCAGGGGUCAGUUCCUUGGUCCUCUUCUUUUAUCAGUUACACUUACUCCUUGGUUAUCUCAUCUAAGCUCGGAGCUUUAUUUCCCCACCUAUACACUGAUAACUCCCACCUUUACAUCUUCCCAUAGCCAACUGCAGGUGUGAUAUCUAGCAGGUGUCUCAAAUUCAACUCGUCCCAAACUGGCCUCCUUAUUUUUUCUCCAAAACCAGCUCUUCCACAAUUUUCCUGAUCUUUGUAUUUGGGUUCUCUAACUUUGCAGUUACUCUGGCUAAAAACCGUGGGGUCAUUCUCAUCUCCUUCAUUUCUCAGGUAUUUUACCUUCAAUCCACAAGGACAUCUUGUCAGUUUAACCUCAAAAAAAAUCUAUAAUCCAACUAGUUCUUCCUGCCUUCACUGCCACCAUCAGCUCUCACUGGCAUCACUGCCAUGGCUUCCUGACCUGUCUGCCUACAUCCAUCCCUGCUCCCCUGCAUCCUGUUAACCACUAAGGUGAUGAUGCUUCUCUGCCCCAGCCCUCUUGUGGCCCCUCAUCUCUCCCAUGGGGAGAUUCACUGAGGCCACUGACAUAGUGCCUGUCAUUCAUGAAAGGGGACUGCUAUGGUGAAUGGAAUGAUAAAGGCCAUAGCAUGGUCAUGGAAACACAGGGCAGAGGGGACUCAUUCCAACCAUUGGAAGGAGAGGGCUUCCAGAAGGAGGCAUCAUUGGUUCUAAGCUUUGAACCCUGAGUCUGUCUAUUAUGUUGUCUAGAGACAUGCAGAUAAUAGUGCCUGUAACGCUGCACUCUGGCGAGGGUGUCCACCGAGGGCUGAUUCCACCAGACAGUCUGUCCCAGCUCUCUCUGUGCUCCUGUGUGCCAGCACUGGGUAGGUUCUCAGGUUGCCCAGGGCCCAACAUCCUCAUUGCAGAAGCAGAUAUUCCAGCGGGCUCAACAGAAGCAACUAUGCACACGAGAAUGCUCCUUGAGAGUGGCAUAAGGGCUGUUACUAUUAUUAUUUAUUUAAUAUAAUAUAACAAUAAAUUCCUUCACCUGCUUCUUUCUCAUCCAUUGGUGUGAGCUCAAAGGAUGCAGAUCUUUUUUUUUUCUUUUCUUUUCUUUUUUUUUUUUUUGGAGAUGGAGUUUUUCUCUUCUUGCCCAAGCUGGAGUGCCAUGGCGCUAUCUUGGCUCACUGCAACCUCCGCCUCCCAGGUUCAAGCGAUUCUCUUGCCUUAGCCUUCUGAGUAGCUGGGAUUACAGGCACACGCCAGGACGUCCGGCUAAUUUUUUGUAUCUUUAGUAGAAAAAGGUUUCACCAUGUUAGCUAGGCUGGUCUCGAACUCCUGACCUCAGGUGAUCUGCCUGCCUUGGCCUCCCAAAGUUCUGGGAUUAUAGGCAUGAGCCACAGCACCUGGCCAGAUCAUUUUUAAUGUUAGCCAGAACUAAGGAAGGGCCCCGUUUCAACUGCAAAAAGUCCAGACCAGCAGAGUUGAGCUUCACUCCUCCUCCACUUUCUGGGAUCUGGUCCCAUGCGUGCUACAUGGAUGAUCUCACUUCUUUUUCAUGUAGUCCUGCAAGGUAGGUACUACUGUCACCACUUUACAGGCUGGGUGGUGAAGCCACCUGCUCACAGUGCCACCGCCAGUGAAGGGCAGAGCCAAGACAGGAAUCAGGUCUGUCUGUCACCAAAGUGCCAUGUUCUUAGCCACUAUACUGCACUACAGCCUGGGAGACUUGCAGAGCCACGGGGAAGUCACACGUGGAUCUUUCUUUCUAGGCUGAUCCAUGACCUACCUCUCAGUUCCUGGGCAGGUGAGUGCCGACCCGAAGUGCUUGCUCCGUGGGCUUGUCCUGCCUUGCACCCACUGCAAUGCCUUCCAGGUUGAGGUGCGCUGGGCACACGCCCAGAGACCUUUGCACUGCCGUUUGAAAAGUUAUUUAAUGAGAAACUUUUUGUACUUCUCUUGUCCUCUUGCCAGAGGCUUCUGUAUACAUAACUCUGCAAACUGCUCUGCUAUUUGCUCAUAGAAGUCAAGUUGAUUUUUAGUCUCUCUUCCUUCUAUGUAGAUCCCUCUAAAUAGUUCUAUGGCCAUUUCCUUUUUUAUAACUAUAUAUCUUUAUAACUAUGUCUUCCUUUAUUUAUAGGUGUAUGUAGGUGCUAUUCUUUCUCCUUUAUUUAUAAGCAUUUCAACAGAGGACCAGGAUCUGAAGCCAAAAAGUGAGAAUUAUCUGGGUCUUUUAGUUUUUUUGUUUUUUAAUAUUUAUGGGUACAUAGUAGGUAUAUAUAUUUGUGUGGUACAUAAGAUAUAUGGAUACGGAGAAUUGCCUGUUUAUUCAUCGAAGACCUAGAAAAUAAUUCACAGAGAGCAGGUCAGGUUCAAUGUGAAGCUUCCAUAAAGUCAAAUUCC
rnacentral:lncRNA from 10 species